UACGUAGGGUGCAAGCGUUGUCCGGAAUUAUUGGGCGUAAAGAGCUCGUAGGCGGUCUGUCGCGUCGGCCGUGAAAACCUGGGGCUCAACUCUGGGCGUGCGGUCGAUACGGGCAUCACUUGAGUUCGGCAGGGGAGACUGGAAUUCCUGGUGUAGCGGUGAAAUGCGCAGAUAUCAGGAGGAACACCGGUGGCGAAGGCGGGUCUCUGGGCCGAUACUGACGCUGAGGAGCGAAAGCAUGGGUAGCGAACAGG
rnacentral:rRNA from 1 species